rnacentral:rRNA from 1 species
GGUAACAGCGGGGCAGCGGACGCGGGAAGGCGUGAGGGGUGGGAGGUGGCCGGGGUUGCUGGGCGUAAAGCGCGCGAAGGCGGUCACGCAGGUCAACGGUUAGAGCACGCGGCUCAACCGGGUUGUUGGUGGUGAAACAGCGUGACUUGAGGGUGGGAGAGGUCGGUGGAAUUCCCGGUGUAGUGGUGAAAUGCGUAGAGAUCGGGAGGAACACCCGUAGCGAAGGCGGCCGACUGGACCAUACCUGACGCUGAGGCGCGAAGGCCAGGGGAGCGAACGGGAUUAGAUACCCCAGUAGUC